GUGUCAGCCGCCGCGGUAAUACAGAGGGUGCGAGCGUUGUCCGGAAUCACUGGGCGUAAAGGGCGCGUAGGUGGCGAGCCAAGUCCAUGGUGAAAGCUCGAUGCUCAACAUCGAGUCGGCCACGGAUACUGGUGCGCUUGAGCACUGUAGAGGCUAAUGGAAUUCCGGGUGUAGCGGUGGAAUGCGUAGAGAUCCGGAAGAACACCGGUGGCGAAGGCGGUUAGCUGGGCAGUUGCUGACACUGAGGCGCGACAGCGUGGGGAGCAAACAGGAUUAGAUACCCUGGUAGUCC
rnacentral:rRNA from 1 species